UCCCAGGUGGCUUAGUGGUAAAGAAUCUGCCUGCCAAGCAGGAGACACAGGUUCGAUCGCUAGGUUGGGAA
rnacentral:tRNA from 1 species